rnacentral:ncRNA from 1 species
CGCAGAAAAAGGCAAACUCAUUGAAAGAUGAGGACGCAAAGUCACGGGUCUAAGGUAUUGGAUGAUACUACGAUGGCUGGGUUGCCUGG